GAUGAACGCUGGCGGCGUGCCUAAUACAUGCAAGUCGAGCGAACAGACGAGGAGCUUGCUCCUCUGACGUUAGCGGCGGACGGGUGAGUAACACGUGGAUAACCUACCUAUAAGACUGGGAUAACUUCGGGAAACCGGAGCUAAUACCGGAUAAUAUAUUGAACCGCAUGGUUCAAUAGUUAAAGACGGUUUUGCUGUCACUUAUAGAUGGAUCCGCGCCGCAUUAGCUAGUUGGUAAGGUAACGGCUUACCAAGGCAACGAUGCGUAGCCGACCUGAGAGGGUGAGCGGCCACACUGGAACUGAGACACGGUCCAGACUCCUACGGGAGGCAGCAGUAGGGAAUCUUCCGCAAUGGGCGAAAGCCUGACGGAGCAACGCCGCGUGAGUGAUGAAGGUCUUCGGAUCGUAAAACUCUGUUAUUAGGGAAGAACAAAUGUGUAAGUAACUAUGCACGUCUUGACGGUACCUAAUCAGAAAGCCACGGCUAACUACGUG
rnacentral:rRNA from 1 species